GUGUAGUAUCUGUUCUUAUCAGUUUAAUAUCUGAUACGUGGGCCAUUGGCUCACAUGAUAUUAAAUUAAUUUUUUAAGGGGGAAGGCCCAUCACAGUAGCUUGCUAUUGGGGUCUUCGAGUGUCUCCUUGGCGUUGCACUACUGCCUUGGCCUGGCGCACCCCACCAAUACUAGUCUUUAAAUUUCUGUAAAUAACUAGCAAGGCAAGGGAAUUGCAGUUGUUUUAUACGUGAUUUUGUGCCUCAAAGCUCUGUUGACAGUGAUUUGCAUUAUAGUCUUCUAUAAUUUUGCUUUGGUUAAUUUUUUGGUUUCUCACCAUGGUGUUUGGGGUUAGCCCUCUAUUAGUUUCCUGGUACAACUAGAAGUUGAUUUUCUGUGCCCAAUGUUGCUAGAUUGAAGAACUAUGACAGAAAGUCCCUAUUGUAUAUUGUCAUACAUGUACUAUUGCUCUCUCUCUCUCUCCCCACGUUGUUUGUUUGUUGAAGGGCACCCAAAUCAAUUUGCUGCAGUCUGUUUUGCACCAAUGGAUCUAUCCACUUUGUCACUAGUACACUAUCAUGAGUUGAGUCUUCGACUGCUGGUUCUGGCCUUUAAAUUGUUGUCUCUCAAAGUCUAGUGUUUUGAGCAGAAGAAGAGGAAUUUCACUUGUUAAUAGAUUGCCUUGAUAACUUCUAUUUA